rnacentral:tRNA from 1 species
ACCGCGAUAGUUCAGCAGGUAGAGCAUCCUCUUGGUAUACGGAGGGUAGCCGGUUCGGUUCCGGCUCGCGGCG